UUGCUUUUUGCGUUUGGCAAAGGCCCUUUGUGUCUAGACCCAAAAAUCUCAUUUGGUCGUUUUGUUUCUGUUGCUUGUUUUCCCAUCAAAGUCCUACAAAUCCCACCUCAAAAACCAAAUCUAAAUGGCCAUGGCCAUGAAAACCAAGCUCAAAAAUCAAAUCUAAAUGGCCAUGGCCAUGGCCAUGAAAACCAAGCUCAAAAAUCAAAUCUAAAUGGCCAAGAUAGGCAAAAGUUAAUCUCUAGAAAGGGCCCUCAUAAAUCAUUCCUAAAUUAUGCAACCAAGGGUCUUCUUUUGGCAAUGGUGGUGGCUUCAUAUGACUAUAGUG
rnacentral:lncRNA from 1 species